UUUCCGAAAUGCAAGAAAAAGGUGUUUUCGGAGAUGCAUCUCCGAAAACGCCUUUUUUUUUUGAAAAAAUUGUCUUAUUUCGGAAGUUCAUUUCCGAAAACAGCAUUUCGGAAGUGAACUUCCGAAAUACUGCGCGUUCUGCAGAUUUAUUAAAACACUCCCCCUCCCCCAUUCAUUUACCCUAACUCAAAUCAAAAACAAGCAAAGGCGAAAAUUUGUGCAAACACACUUCCAAGGCUGCAUCAAGGCUCCAAUCACAUUGCUAUACAACAUUCAAAAGCCCACAAAUCACUCAAUUUGAACAUGUCAGGCAACCAACCAGCACGCAUCAGACAGGGUAGGGAGACCCAGACUGCGUCAGCUACACAGGGAAUGGGUGGCGCUAAGGGAAAAAAGGAGAUGAAGGAGAAGAAGAAGGUUUCGACCGGCUCUACUUCGUGCUCUCGCGGAGUGAAGGAGGUGAAGGAGAAGACGAAGGUUUCGACCGGC